GAUUAAAGGCGUGAGCCGCCGCCACCACCGCCCGACUGAAUCCAUUGUUUUGUUUUUUUUUAAUGACAGAUUAUGUACAUUUUUAUAUAUUCUCAAUAAAAGUCAUCUGCUGGCUAUGCAAUUUAAUGUCUUCCCAUGGCUGCAUACAUACAUACAUACAUGCUUUUAUGCACAAUAAUCAGUAUAGAAGACUUCUAAGCCCCUCAAAUGUUUGCUGCAACUGACACAAGCUGGUAUCUUCCAAUCUGACUCAGUUCUCACUGUCUACCUGGCCAUAACAUUGAAUCACACAGAUUGAGGGCUUGGUCUUCAUGAUUACCCCCACUUCAGAUAUCAAUUACAAGCUCCAGGUGUCUCACCUGUGCUGUUGAGGGACUGGCUAUAACCUGGGUUUCUAGAACUUUCUGCUCAGGUUCAGUUCAUUUGCAUGGGCAGCUUACAGAGAUGAGGAAAAUUCCUGGGUACUUUACAGGCAUUAGCAGAAUAUACAGAUGAAGGACUCAGUGCAAUAUGUGUGGGAAGGGGCCUUCCUAGAACCACAGCCCAGGAACCUUCACAGGUUUCAACUGUCCAGAACCUCCUGAAACUGGCAACCAUGUCUGACGGGUUCAGUCUAAUUUUUAGCCCUUCCAUGUCCUGGGAGCUUGGUGGCCAUCAGCCAUCCUUCAGCUACCUAGGAUACAGCAGUUAUUUCAUUAGCACAAAAAGACACUAUCACUCCAACAGGUUCCAAGGAUUUUUGGAGUCUGCAUGCCUAGAAAUCUAUAAGAAGUCCAAAUAUACAACCCACAACAUCCCAGCAGUUAGUAACACACCACUUUUACACAGUCUUGCAGCCCGAGCAGAGUGUUUAAUGUUGAUGAGAUCCAGUGUUUCAAGAUUUCCAUUUAUGAAUCAGGCUUCUGGUGUCAGGUCUAAAAAAAAAAUCUUAUCCUUAUCCUAGAUCUCAAAGACUUUCUCCUAUGUUUUCUUGAAGUUUUGUUGUUAUAUUUUGUAUUUAAGUCCAAAGUCCAUCUGAGUGAUUUGCAAGCCUUUCAUUGUUUUCAUGAUGUCUCCUGAUGCAGCAGUGUUCACUGAAAGGACAGUCUUCCCUCCAUUGAGUCCCUUUGUUCCUUUUCAGAGUGUAUCGAGGUGGCUGGCAGGAUGGUGCAUGCACUCGCCACCCAAGCUGACGACUUGAGUUUGACUCCCAGAACCCACGUGGUAGAAGGAGAGACUCAACUCUUGACAUGUUAUCCUCUGACCUCUACAUGUGCAUGCCUGCGUGCAUAUGCAUCCAUACAAAUAAAUGCAAUCAAUAAAAAAGAUGGAAAGUGAGGUCUUGUAAUAGGAACAGAUCAGAGUCCAGAGUGACUCCCUCUGAGAUUUUCAGGAUCUUGUGUUCCAGAACAAAGAAUUGGACCAAGGACACAUGCAUAGUGAUAGAAACGAGUUUAAGAAAAGGGCUGCUGCUGGUAGUACAGACCUUUAAUCCCAGCACUCAGCAGGCAGAGGCAGGUACAGGUGGAUCGCUUAUGGAUUUGAGGCCAGCCUGGUUUACAUUACUGAGUUCUGGGACAGCCAAGGAUACAUAGCAAAACCUU
rnacentral:lncRNA from 1 species